rnacentral:rRNA from 1 species
UACAGAGGGUGCGAGCGUUAAUCGGAAUACUGGGCGUAAAGCGCACGCAGGCGGCUGCGUAAGUCUGACGUGAAAUCUCCCGGCUUAACCGGGAGCGGUCGUUGGAAACUAUGCGGCUUGAGGCGAUGAGAGGGGUGUGGAAUUCCCGGUGUAGUGGUGGAAUGCGUAGAUAUCGGGAGGAACAUCAGUGGCGAAAGCGGCACCCUGGCAUUAGCCUGACGCUCAGGUGCGAAAGCGUGGGGAGCGAACGGG